rnacentral:rRNA from 1 species
AUACGUAGGUGACAAGCGUUAUCCGGAUUUACUGGGCGUAAAGGGCGUGUAGGCGGUCUUGCAAGUCAGAAGUGAAAUUCCUGAGCUCAACUCGGGCGCUGCUUCUGAAACUGCAGGACUUGAGUGCUGGAGGGGAUAGCGGAAUUCCUAGUGGAGCGGUAAAAUGCGCAGAUAUUAGGAAGAACACCGGUGGCGAAGGCGGCUAUCUGGACAGUAACUGACGCUGGGGCGCGAAAGCGUGGGGAGCAAACAGGAUUAGAUACCCUGGUAGUCCACGCUGUAAACGAUGAAUACUAGGUGUAGGGGGUAUCGACUCCCUCUGUGCCGCAGUUAACACAAUAAGUAUUCCGCCUGGGGAGUACGGCCGCAAGGUUGAAACUCAAAUGAAUUGACGGGG